rnacentral:sRNA from 1 species
UUUUAGCCCUGAUGGAAGCGGCAUCCUUUUUUGCUUGACUUAAAUUUUCUUUUUAAAACAACAUUUCGAAAGCAAAAAAGAUACAGCGGACAGCGGGAAGAGGC